rnacentral:rRNA from 1 species
UGAAGCGUGGACGCCAGUCUGCGUGGAGCCGACCUUGAAAUACCACCCUUUAAUGUUUGAUGUUCUAACGUGGACCCGUGAUCCGGGUUGCGGACAGUGUCUGGUGGGUAGUUUGACUGGGGCGGUCUCCUCCUAAAGAGUAACGGAGGAGCACGAAGGUUGGCUAAUCCUGGUCGGACAUCAGGAGGUUAGUGCAAUGGCAUAAGCCAGCUUGACUGCGAGCGUGACGGCGCGAGCAGGUGCGAAAGCAGGUCAUAGUGAUCCGGUGGUUCUGAAUGGAAGGGCCAUCGCUCAACGGAUAAAAGGUACUCCGGGGAUAACAGGCUGAUACCGCCCAAGAGUUCAUAUCGACGGCGGUGUUUGGCACCUCGAUGUCGGCUCAUCACAUCCUGGGGCUGAAGUAGGUCCCAAGGGUAUGGCUGUUCGCCAUUUAAAGUGGUACGCGAGCUGGGUUUAGAACGUCGUGAGACAGUUCGGUCCCUAUCUGCCGUGGGCGCUGGAGAACUGAGGGGGGCUGCUCCUAGUACGAGAGGACCGGAGUGGACGCAUCACUGGUGUUCGGGUUGUCAUGCC